ensembl:lncRNA
GUGUGGCUGUGCAUGGCUCUCUAAUGUCCUGGCUCGACGGGCUCCAUAUAUUAUUUACCUGUUACAGAAAAUACAUUAGCUCUGUCUAUGGUUAUAUUGCCCUGAAUGUGCCAGAUCUCCUGAAGUUAAAACAGGGGUGGGCCUGCUUAGUAUCUGCACGUGAGGAUUUUCUCACAGCUGUUUGAUUGACAGUUGUUUUCCUCUCCCUUCCUUUUCCCCUUCUCUCCCUCCUCUUUCUCCUCAUCCCCUUUCUUCCUCCUGGUUGGAGAUAAGGUCUCGUGUCUGCCAGGUUGGCUUCAAUAACGUUGACCUCACGGCCCCCCUGCUUCAACCUCCUGAGUGUUAGGGUUGCAGGUUGCACGCUCACACCUGGCUCAAUGCAGCACUCAGGAUGGAAGCAGGGCUCGGUGCCUGCUAGGCAAGGGCUCUACUAAUGGAUCUAUGUCCCCAGCCCUGACUGACCAGUUUACUAGUGUGGAUGGAUAAUCCAACUGGGGAUUUCUCAGAGCCAGUCUGAGAGGAAAAGGGAGUUUAAGUCAUUUAUUUGGGAGGUGAUUUGGGGAUGAGACUGGAGAUGGAAUAGCAGGGGUGUCUUAGGUAGGAUUUUUACAGCUGUGAAGGGACACCAUGGCCAUGGUCACUCUUAUAAAGAAAGCAUUUAAUUGGGGUGGUUUACAUACAGUUCAGAGCUUCAGUCCAUUAUCAACAUGGUGGGGGCAUAGCGGAGUGCAGGCAGGCAGGCAUCUUCAUUAGUAGGCAACAGGAAGUAAACUCUGUCACACUAAGUGAAGCUGGAGCAAAAGAGACUUCAAAGCCCACCCCACAGUGACACACUUCCUCCAACAAGGCCACAUCUCCUAAUAGAGCCAUACCGUCACAGUGUGUAAAUAAGCAGAUGGCCACUGUGGCCUUACUGGAAGCCUCUUGGUGACUGUUUAGCUAUUCUGUGGAGUUGCCAAGGGCUAGGCAGUGGGCUGUGCAUUCCCUAUUUGGCCUGUUGUUGAUAAAAAUGCUCAGGGGUCCCCGAUACCCUACAUCUUUGUCUGACCAGUGUACCAACUGUGUGGUCUUGAGCACCAGAAGAGCCCCCAGGCUUAGAGCUUCAGGCCCUGGUGCAGGGACAGAAGGGAAAAGGGAGAUUGGGGUAUUGGGGGUAUCUGUCUGCCUGAUGUCUAGAAUCUAGCAGAGGAGAGAGCCCUGGCCUGGCACCACACAUCCGCUUUGCUCUGUUGCACUAGACACACUGUCCAGCUUUUCUGACAGCUGCAGUUCUUGUCCAGAACGGUCCCCCGAGGGCUUUCUAAAGAGUGCCAUGAGCUAGUUGGAUCGCCCAGAUCACUCAAGAUUUCUCAAUGCCUCCAUUCCAAAAAAGCCUGGGAGCGGCUUGGACUGUCUGGGCCUGAAGAGGAAACGGGCUUCAUCGGCAGCACCAGGGGAGGGCAAUGCAUUGCUUCAUAGACAGCAUGGGCUUCUUUAAGGACAUAAGGCCUCAGCCCCUGCAAGAGGGCUCAGAAAACACCAGGGGGGUUGACAUCAGACCUUGUGGCUUGGCAGGGAACCCAAGUGCGUCUUUCCCCAGUACUGUCUUUAGGAUUUCUUGUCCUCUCUGUCACCCUGCCAAGUGCCCCGCAGUCCUAACCCCCACAGCACAGGUCUUGCACCUUAAGGGUGGCAGUGUGGAGUGUGCAGUGCAUAGCUCUGGCAGAUCUGGGUGGGUCUGGAGGGGUUGUGUGGGGCCAACCAGGAGGAGAAGAAAUUAUUGGGGGCUGCAAAGGGCUAUCCUAGGCCUAGGGGAAUUGAGUUUUCUUCUGCAGUCCUAGUGACUCCCAUGGGCUAUCACACUCACUGCUCUUGAAUGCUCCCACAGCUUUUCAGGGUGAGUAUGAACAUGGACUCAAUCUGCAGAAACCAUCAGUGGACGUCAGAUGGUACCAUAGAGACUAUUCCUGGAGAAUAUUCUCUUCCCCAGAAAAUGAAUCAAAAGUUACACCGCAUCUUAUUCAAAUUUAACUCCAAACAGAACCUAUCAUUAAAUGUAAAACUCAAACCCAUUAGUUGGUGGGAAUUAAACACAGGGCAAAGCAAAGUCUCUGGGACCCAGAACCAGAUGAAGAGCCCUUGUCUGGGACACCAAGGCAUACUCAACUAUUUCUCUCAUCCAUUGUGUAUAGUCUCCACCCCUCAGCAAAGCCACGCUGAGGGCUCAGUCCUCACCUGCUCAUGCCCUUCUCUCAGGACAUGGAGCAGGGCCGGAGUGUAGCAUCUUGCCAUUACACACUGGUGAACCAAUGCUGGAGCUGAAUGCCACUCAGACGAUACCGUGGGGUUUGGCAUCAAAGGAAUGAACUUGACCAUUGUCUAAGCGAAGGCGGGAUAGUGUCUGCUGGCUGAGGGCUCUGAGGAGAGGCUGAUGAGGCCAGCAGGCCUUGCCUUGCAAUGGGCAAAGGCCCCUCUGGCCUGCCCCACUCAGCUUUUGCCACCUCUUGAAGCCAUCCUCCUGGCAGCACUGCAGUGGCUCUGGCUGGAAGAGCAGAGCAGCGAGCACUAGCAUUUCCUGAAAAUCUGUUUUCAUGAUCUUUGGCGGAAAUGUAACUUAGGGGAAUUUUCUGUGGGGGUUGGGAAAUGGAUGAGAUGUCAACGAUUCCAUGCAAGUCUCGGCUCCACGUGGGUUUCUCCCAGGCACACUGAGAAUGAGAAAUGUCUCUCCAGCCCCGUCUUGGCUCCUUUGCUCAUCCCUCCUCCCUCUCCACAACUGAAUUCCAGUAGUAUGGCUCAAUGCUGAAGUAAAGAGAGAGAAGCCCCCCCUCCAAUGAUAUGACAGACUUUGAAGGUCCUUGGUAGAGGGCCUCACUAUCCCUGAGGAGGAGUCCGGGGGGGGGGUGAGUUGGGAGGGUUGGGUUGGGAACAUGGGAGGAUGGGAGGGUGAGGGAAUGGGGGGAUGGAUAUGUAAAUAUGAGUAGUAAUUAAAGAAUUUAAAUAAAAAAUGUAAAAAACAAAUAAUCCCCUAGGAAUAGGAAGAAACACCUGUGCUCAGAAACAUGUAAGUUCUGAGGAGGGCCUGGCUCCUUAUCCUGCAUGUCCCGUAGCUAUAGCACCGUGAAGACCCUUGGCUGAAUUUUGGCCUGUAAUCCACCUAACUCUUGCUUUCAUGUGCUUAGACUCAAUUUCUCUAUUCCUAUACAGCUAUUCCUAUACACCAUUCCCAUGCCUAGGGAAUGAUGCCACCCACACUGUACUGUCUUUCCACAUCAGUUAGCACAAUUAAGACAACCUUCCUCCAGACAUGUCCACAGGCCCACCCAGUGUAGACAAUCUAUCAUUGAGACCUUCCCAGAUGAUCCUAAAUUGUGUCAAAUUGACAAAGCUAACAGUCACAGCCACUCUGACCAGAAUAUGGUGUCAUUCUCAAUUUCAUGUGCUGAGACCCUAGCCCCAAGACUAUGGCAGAGUUUAGGGGUAUAGACAAGGUCAUAAGAGUGGAGCCCUCAUCAACACACUCACAGUUCCCAAGGAAUUCAGUUCCCUCUCUGCCACAUGAGGAUGGGGUGAGGAGGGGCCGUGUGUCUAUGAAAUGAACCGGGAAGCAUCCUUCACCUGACACCAAAACUGCUGGCCACAAAAUUGUGGACUUUCUGUUCUCUUGUGAAGGCAGUUUAAAUGAGCUACCUACGAGCCCUGGCUGUGUAUGUACCUAAGAGACCCGUAUGAUUCAUCUUGGCUACACCUUGAAGUCUCUGGCAACAAUCUUGCAUCGAUAUUGAACUUUCUUUCACUACAGCUGAAUUCUGCAUUGUUAGCUCAAAAUGAGGGUUCAUGACUUCUUGUUAAAUCUCUUUCGGACACCCAUAAUUAAGGAAUUAUUUGACUUGGAAAGCUUAGCAGGUACCAAAAAAAAGAAAAUAAAAAUGACCAAAACCUUUGGGGAAUCUUGAAAUUGUCCAGCAUCCAUCCUAGAUUUUUAGGUUAGAGUCCAUGGCUCCUGAGGCACUACCUGAAGCAUCCAGGCUACUUUCUUUCCCUGUGUGCUUCCUUAGAAGUCAAGGAAGCACGGAAGCUCGGCAGGACAAUUGGUCUUAGACAUUAAUCUUGUGUACCAGGCCUGCAUAGCUUGCAAAUGUCAUUGUGUCCUGGCAACUACAA